GACGAACGCUGGCGGCGUGCUUAACACAUGCAAGUCGAGCGGAGCGGCGAACGGGUGAGUAACGCGUGAGUAACUGCCCCCCUCUCUGGGAUAACAGUUGGAAACGGCUGCUAAUACCGGAUAGUGGGGGAUGACUCGCGUCCUAUCAGCUUGUUGGUGGGGUAGUGGCCUACCAAGGCGACGACGGGUAGCCGGCCUGAGAGGGCGACCGGGCACAGAGGGCUGGGGGACGGCCCAUACGGCAACGGGGGGCAGUAGGGGGGAAUAGUGCACAAGGGGGGAAACCCUGAUGGAGCAACGCCGCGUGCGGGAGGACGGGCUUCGGGUUGUAAACCGCUUUCAGCCAUGACGCGGUAGUGGCAUAAGAAGCAACGGCUAACUACGUGCCAGCAGCCGCGGUAAUAC
rnacentral:rRNA from 1 species